rnacentral:rRNA from 1 species
UAAUACAGAGGGUGCGAGCGUUGUCCGGAAUCACUGGGCGUAAAGGGCGCGUAGGCGGCCGGAUAAGUAGGGGGUGAAAUCUCACAGCUUAACUGUGAGGCUGCCUUCUAGACUGUCUGGCUUGAGCACGGUAGAGGCUGGUGGAAUUCCCGGUGUAGCGGUGGAAUGCGUAGAGAUCGGGAAGAACAUCGGUGGCGAAGGCGGCCAGCUGGGCCGUUGCUGACGCUGAGGCGCGAAAGCGUGGGGAGCAAACAGGAUUAGAUACCCUGGUAGUCCACGCUGUAAACGAUGGGUACUAGGCGUCGGGGGGAGCGACCCCUUCGGUGCCGUCGCUAACGCAGUAAGUACCCCGCCUGGGGAGUACGGUCGCAAGACUG